rnacentral:lncRNA from 1 species
AGUCCGCGGCUUGUGUGCCGCGAGGAGAGGCGCAAAGGGUGACACACCAGGAAAGCAGGUAGCAGGCAAGAGUGUGGUUAUCGUUGGACCAGGAUUCAGGAUCUGACUGAGUAGCUGACUCUUAAUCCAGUUUGUGUUGAUCACCAGGAGGAUCUGGACCUCAGUAUUACCACAUCUAGAGGUGAUAUGCCAACUCCACCUUUGCCUUCCACCAUGUUUGGAAGCUCCCUGAGGCCUCACCAGGAGCAGAUGCUCGUCCCAUGCUUCCUAUAAGCCUGCAGAACUGGAAAAGAAAGCUGGAUAAAGUAUUUAUAGAAGAUAGAGGACCUGUGGUGGCUCAUGCCUGUAAUCCAAGGUGGAAGGAUUGCUUGAGGCCAGAAGUUCAAGACCAGUCCAAGCAACAUAGCAAGGCCCCAUCUCUACAAAAAAUGAAAAUAAAAUUAGCCGAGCGUGAUGGCUCAUGCCUGUAGUUCUAGCUUCUAGAGAGGCUGAGGCAGGAGGAUUGCUUGAGUCCAGGAGUUCAAGAUUACAGUGAGCUAUGGUCACACCACUGCACUCCAGCCUGGGUGAUGGAGUGAGACUGUCUCAAUAAAAAGACAAAAAGGUAAGCCCUUAGGUAAAGUAAGCUUGCUUCUUUGUUAGAGCUAUCCAUGCUGAGUCCAGGCAAAGAAAAUGCUUUCUUUGGCCUGGUGCGGUGGCUCAUGCCUGUAAUCCCAACACUUUUGGAGGCCAAGGUGGGCAGAUCACAAGGUCAAGAGUUCAAGAUGAGCCUGACCAACAUGGUGAAGCCCCAUCUCUACUAAAAAUACAAAAAUUAGCCAGGUGUGGUGGUGCGCACCUGUAAUCCCAGCUAUUCAGGAGGCUGAGGCAAGAGAAUCACUUGAACCCAGGAGGCAGAGGUUGCAGUGAGCUGAGAUUGCACCUUUGCACUCUCACUCUGGCCUGGGCAAUAGAGCAAGACUCCAUCUCAAAAAAAAAAAAAAAAGAAAAAAGAAAAUGCUUUCUUUGCACAGUUCAGUAAUGAGCUCUGCCCCGAACUCAGUAAUUUUAGCAAAGAAACAGUAGCUAAGUUAAGAAGACCGCCUAUUGAACUAAGUUGGUCUCCAAAAUGUACCUUUCUGGCAUUUAGAUGGCUACUUUGAAACCCUUUUGUAAAUGAAAUUUACAUCUAUAAAGGAAAUCGCCAUCUGUAAGGGCAUCUACACUGAGAAGAGGGUGGACUGGGUCACUAGAAACUCUUACCACUGAUCUAACAUAAAUCUUACCAUUGUUUAAGGUGCUUUUCCUUGCCAUCUUGUCUUAACCGGGCCUUUACCGACACUUUUCUUCCUUGGUUUAGGGAACCAGUGGUACAGUAUUUAGGCCCAAAGUCUCAGCUCUGUGCUUUUGAGAUAUGAAUUUUUCACCGUGUUCCACCUAAUAGCAUCCCUUUAGAAGUACAAAUUUAGGGCCGGGCGCGGUGGCUCACGCCUGUAAUCCCAGCACUUUGGGAGGCCGAG